GCUUAGAAAUAAUUAAGGGAAAGGCAAGAUGGGGGUUGGGGGUGAGGUGUUAGCUCAGACCUCUUUCACUGUCAUAAUUUUCUAACUGAUAUAAUUUUUGCAAAGGUGGUUUCAUUGUCUUGAGUGCUUUACUAAUGUUAACUUGUUUAACUAUGACCAUAUUCAUCCUUGUGCCUUUAUUCACAUUUAGUGUUCAAUGUAAGGAACCACUGACCCUACAGAACAGAGGUUUGAGUUGACUCUCACUUUUCAAAACUUCUGGAUAAUGGCAGUGCAACAAAACCAGUUUGGUUCUCUGAUCCUCAUAAAUGGGGAAAAACUCAUGAAAAAAAAUUAGAUGUACCGGAAGCACAAUAAAUACUUUGUAAAAAUUAUACAUCAAAAAAGAAGUAAAAGCAUAUUAUUUAGAAUUGUGUUGGCAACCGCUAGAAAAACAUGUUAAAUGUAUGUUAAAUAAAUGAACAUGCAAUCUUAAAAGCAAUGAAUGUAUAAAAAGCAUCCAUUGUGAACUGUUACCAGAAGGGGUUCCUGAUCCAGAUGCCAAGAGACAGUUCUUAACCCUUGAGCAAGAAAGAAUUCCGGGCAAGUCCAUACAGUAAAGUGAAAGCAAGUUUAUUAGGAGAGUAAAGGAAUAAAGAAUGGCUACUCCAUAGGCAGAACAGCAACUUGGGCUGCUUGACUGAGAAUACUUAUAGUUAUUUCUUGAUUAUAUGCUAAACAAGGGGUAGAUUAUUCAUGAGUUUUCUAGGAAAGAGGUGGAUAAUUCCCAGAACUGAGGGUUCUUCCCGUUUUUUAAACCACAUAGGGUAACUUCCUGACGUUGCCAUGGCAUUUGUAAACUGUCAUGUGCUGAUAGGAGUGUCUCUUAGCAUGCUAAUGCAUUAUAAUUAGCAUAUAAGGAACAGUGAAGAUGACCAGAUAUCACUUUCAUUGCCAUCUUGGUUUUGGUGGGUUUUGGCCAACUUCUUUACUGCAAACUGUUUAAUCAGCAAGGUCUUUGUCACCUUAUCUUGUGCCAACCUCCUAUCUCAUCCUGUGACUUAGAAUGCCUGCCCUCUUGGGAAUACAGCUCAGUAGGUCUCAGCCGUAUUUCACCCAGCCCCAAUUCAAGAUGGAGUUGCUCUGGUUCAAAUGCCUCUGACAUAUUUCUCCCUUCCCUUUUACAAGGGAACCCCUAAUCCAAAGGGUAGUAGAGGGAUGAAGAUCCAUCUGCUGUAACUUCUUCAGGCUGAAUCACGGCUAUGCUAUUCCUACCUAACUAUUGUGGUCUCUUGUAUUCAGGGUAGAGAGAAGCACAGUCAGAAGUCAUCACUAUGGUGAGGGCCAUUCAUAACUCUUGAGGGCAAAAGGUGAUAUCCGGAAGAUUAAAAAGUAUUCAAUUUAAUAAAACAUUGAGUAAGCUUAUCCUGCACUCCCACACAGAGUACAACAGCAAUAUAUUCCACAAUGGUAAAGCAAAAUAAGUAAAACUAUCCCAAGUAAACUAAAUUAGAAGGCUUUCCAUGAACUUGGCAAUGGUUGGAACUGGUCAAGCUGAUAUGAAGUUGCUGUACAUGCUAUAUGUUCCAAUACAUGAUCGGAAUUAGAAUAUUGAUCCAGAUUUUUACAUUACCCAUUUCUGUUAUUUUUUUCUGAGCAGCAGCCAGAGAUCACUGGUUAGUUGGCAGGAAUAAGUAGGGUUAGUCUAAAUUGCAAGAAAAAAAAAAAAA
ensembl:lncRNA